GACGAACGCUGGCGGCGUGCUUAACACAUGCAAGUCGAACGGAGCGAAUGAAAGCUUGCUUUUAUGAGCUUAGUGGCAAACGGGUGAGUAACACGUAGACAACCUGCCGACAGGAUGGGGACAACCAUUCCGAAAAGGAAUGCUAAUACCGAAUGAAGCGGAGGAGAGGCAUCUCUCUUCCGUGAAAGAUGGCCUCUAUUUAUAAGCUAUCACCUGUCGAUGGGUCUGCGUCUGAUUAGCUGGUUGGUGAGGUAACGGCUCACCAAGGCGACGAUCAGUAGCCGGUCUGAGAGGAUGAACGGCCACAUUGGGACUGAGACACGGCCCAGACUCCUACGGGAGGCAGCAGUGGGGAAUCUUCCGCAAUGGGCGCAAGCCUGACGGAGCAACGCCGCGUGAGUGAAGAAGGUCUUCGGAUCGUAAAGCUCUGUUGACGGGGACGAACGUACGGAGUGCGAAUAGUGCUCUGUAAUGACGUACCUUCGAG
rnacentral:rRNA from 1 species